GCGUUAAUCGGAAUUACUGGGCGUAAAGCGUGCGCAGGCGGUUUUGUAAGACAGAGGUGAAAUCCCCGGGCUCAACCUGGGAACUGCCUUUGUGACUGCAAGGCUGGAGUGCGGCAGAGGGGGAUGGAAUUCCGCGUGUAGCAGUGAAAUGCGUAGAUAUGCGGAGGAACACCGAUGGCGAAGGCAAUCCCCUGGGCCUGCACUGACGCUCAUGCACGAAAGCGUG
rnacentral:rRNA from 1 species